GUCUCGGUGGCGCAAUUGGUAAGCUUGCCCUUUAUGAAAACAACACCCAAUGACUCCGUUACUAAUUCAGCAUUACAGGUUAGCGCGUACGACUGUUAAUCGUGAGGUUGAGAGUUCGAUCCUCUCCCGGGACG